AGCGAACGCUGGCGGCAGGCCUAACACAUGCAAGUCGAACGAACCUUUCGGGGUUAGUGGCGGACGGGUGAGUAACACGUGGGAACGUGCCUUUAGGUUCGGAAUAACUCAGGGAAACUUGUGCUAAUACCGAAUGUGCCCUUCGGGGGAAAGAUUAAUCGCCUUUAGAGCGGCCCGCGUCUGAUUAGCUAGUUGGGUGAGGUAAUGGCUCACCAAGGCGACGAUCAGUAGCUGGUCUGAGAGGAUGAUCAGCCACAUUGGGACUGAGACACGGCCCAAAAUCCUACGGGAGGCAGCAGUGGGGAAUCUUGCGCAAUGGGGGAAAGCCUGACGCAGCCAUGCCGCGUAAAUGAUGAAGGUCUUAGGAUUGUAAAAUUCUUUCACCGGGGACGAUAAUGACGGUACCCGGAGAAGAAGCCCCGGCUAACUUCGUG
rnacentral:rRNA from 1 species